rnacentral:rRNA from 1 species
GAUGAACGCUGGCGGCGUGCCUAAUACAUGCAAGUCGAACGAAACUUCUUUAUCACCGAGUGCUUGCGCUCACCGAUAAAGAGUUGAGUGGCGAACGGGUGAGUAACACGUGGGCAACCUGCCCAAAAGAGGGGGAUAACACUUGGAAACAGGUGCUAAUACCGCAUAACCAUAGUUACCGCAUGGUAACUAUGUAAAAGGUGGCUAUACUACCGCUUUUGGAUGGGCCCGCGGCGCAUUAGCUAGUUGGUAGGGUAAAGGCUUACCAAGGCAAUGAUGCGUAGCCGAAUUGAGAGGUUGAUCGGCCACAUUGGGACUGAGACACGGCCCAAACUCCUACGGGAGGCAGCAGUAGGGAAUCUUCCACAAUGGGCGAAAGCCUGAUGGAGCAACGCCGCGUGGGUGAAGAAGGUCUUCGGAUCGUAAAACCCUGUUGUUAGAGAAGAAAGUGCGUGAGAGUAACUGUUCACGUUUCGACGGUAUCUAACCAGAAAGCCACGGCUAACUACGUG